UACGUAGGUGGCAAGCGUUGUCCGGAUUUACUGGGCGUAAAGGGCGUGCAGGCGGUUUGUUAAGUGCAAGAGUGAAAAGCUCCCGGCUCCAACUGGGAGAGGUCUUUGCAUACUGGCAAACUCGGAGGGAGGCAGAGGAAGUGGAAUUCCCGGUGUAGUGGUGAAUAUGCGUAGAUAUCGGGAGGAACACCUGUGGCGAAGGCGGCUCUCUGGGACGGUACUGACGCUGAGACGCGAAAGCGUGGGGAGCGAACAGG
rnacentral:rRNA from 1 species